UUCAACUUUCUAUCGGUAUUGCGAUAAGUUCUUAGCACAGACCAGUCAUUGUUACUCGAACUCGAACAUGGAGUUAUUGACCCGGUGCACAUAGGAGUAUUUAACCCAAAAAAUCGAUCAAAAGUCGAAUAUUACAAAGUAUUCAUAGAAGGUAGUUUUUGCUACCUGGCAAAACGGUAGGGUCGGGGGGACAAUAAACCGCUAGACUCUCUUUUGUUCUUGCUAAAAUUCCGUUCACAAUCAAGUCGUCUUUCUAACGCAAGCUUGAUCGCACGAACUUAAUACCCAGUGAAAGUGAGUUAACUUAAUUGUUAAAAAUAAGCGUGACAGUUAGAUUACUCGGUAUAAAUCAUAUUUUAGUUAUGGACGGUGCAGAACAAGGGGAUAUUCUGGUACAAAGGUCGUGACGCGAAAUUAUGUUUUCCGAAAAUCGAGGGAAUAUACUGAACCAGAUUUCGGAAAAAAGUUGGAUUUAUUGGAGUUUGAAAUAAUUAAUGACUCUUCAUUCCCAACUGAUCAAAAAUCAUAGUUUAUUCAUACAUUUUCUCGUCUCAAGUCUGAAAUGAAGUCUAAGUGGCAGACAGCAAAGCGAACAGAAAGUGUAUUUUUGAAAAAAUACCAUGAUUGGUUACAAGGCACUCUUGAAAUACCGAAAAAAAAAUAAUAUUGAAAAAUCCCCGGGUCGGCCAAGCAAAGAGUUCGCGGAACUAACAGACUGCAGUAAGCGUCGGAAGACAUCACAUUUACGAGGCAAAAAUGAAGCAGAUACACUAAUUUAUGCAGGUCAAAUGGCGCUUCGUGAUAAAGGAAAUGUGGAUGGUGCAUACGUGAUAAAAGAUAUUAUGGCAUCCCCAACACGUGGUCGGAAAUAUCGUGAAGCUUUCAGAAAGAGCGCAACUCCUGAAGCAAAAAUUAAGCAACUAUCGCCAAGUCAGGCUUUGUCUAUAUUUGUGGAAGCUGCAUUAACAAGAAAGCAGUACGAAAUAAUUAGAGAAAGUUCUAAAAAACUAUAUCCGUGCUAUUCCAUUUUACAAAAAGCAAAACAAGAUUGCUAUCCAAAUGCCGAGUCUUAUAGGGUCACUGAAACGUGUGCAGAAAUUCAGUUACAAGCAUUAUUAUUUUAAUACAUGGGCCUACAGUUAUUAGACACGCCAUACUACCAAUAGGGACCUUAUCAGAAGCUGCAGAGGCUCGUAAUAAACAUUUUCGAAAAUUCAGGGAACAAUAUGCAAGAAAAUUCAGUAGAACUGACUGUAAUAUGGAUGUCUUAAAUAGAUUAUUAUUAACUUCAGACCCAUAUUUGACAAGUAUUAGACGAAAAGUGACUAAAAAGUCAAUAAAUUUUAAACUAGAAACUAGGGAAAUGUUAAUGUCCUACGAAGUUGAUAAGGAUAAAGAGAAUGCAGAAGAUAGUGAACAUGAUUCAGGUGAAGAAGAGUAGUUAUAAGCGAUUUAAUUAAUUUAAUAAUGUAUUAGUUUAUAAGUUUUUAAUUAAUACGUCUAAAUUGUUAAAGAUUGCAAUAAACAAAUAGAGACAAA